AUUGAACGCUGGCGGCAUGCCUUACACAUGCAAGUCGAGCGGCAGCGCGGGGGCAACCCUGGCGGCGAGCGGCGAACGGGUGAGUAAUGCAUCGGAACGUGUCCUCUUGUGGGGGAUAACCAGUCGAAAGACUGGCUAAUACCGCAUGAGCUCGAGAGAGGAAAGCAGGGGACCGCAAGGCCUUGCGCGAGAGGAGCGGCCGAUGCCGGAUUAGCUAGUUGGUGGGGUAAAGGCCUACCAAGGCGACGAUCCGUAGCUGGUCUGAGAGGACGACCAGCCACACUGGGACUGAGACGCGGCCCAGACUCCUACGGGAGGCAGCAGUGGGGAAUUUAGGACAAUGGGGGCAACCCUGAUCCAGCCAUGCCGCGUGUGUGAAGAAGGCCUCGGGUUGUAAGCACUUUCGGCCAGAACGAAAUCGCACGAUCUAAUAAGUCGCGUGGAUGACGGUACCGGAAGAAGAAGCACCGGCUAACUACGUGCCAGCAGCCGCGGUAAUACGUAGGGUGCAAGCGUUAAUCGGAAUUACUGGGCGUAAAGUGUGCGCAGGUGGCCGCGCAAGUCGAGUGUGAAAGCCCGGCGUUAACUUGGGAAUUGCGCUCGAAACUACGUGGCUCGAGUGUGGCAGAGGAAGGUGGAAUUCCACGCGUAGCGGUGAAAUGCGUAGAGAUGUGGAGGAACACCGAUGGCGAAGGCAGCCUUCUGGGCCAACACUGACGCUCAUGCACGAAAAGCGUGGGGGAGC
rnacentral:rRNA from 1 species